CAAAAAUACCCUUUUAUUUAUUUUUUUUCAUAAAUGGUCCUUUCUUUCUCUCUCUCUCUCUCUCUCUCUCAAGAAACGACUAAUCCGUCUGAAACCCUAGAUUUUCUUAACUUCACCCCCAUUGAAACACACCACCUUUAUAUUGUCACUACUAGAAUCAACUCGUACACAUCACCAACAAUGAUUAGAGUAAAAUGCAAAUCCAGUAAUCGAAUAUGGUGAUUGUUUCAUAGAUCCGACUGAAGUGCGGUGGAUCUUCCUGUGCUUCUCCUCCGACAAACCACUGCCACCACCUUACUCUUCUUCAGAAAGACAGUCGCCAAAUAGGUAGAUCGGAAGUCGGGUCUAUGAUUCCAUCAUCGUUCGCCACCUCCAUCCGUCACUGCCAGGAAAACCUAACCCUCAUAAAUGAAAACCCUAGCCCUCAUAAAUGUAAAUCAGAACCAUCGAUGAAUGAAGAAGGUUGGGUCCGAUGAAUCAGAGAAAAAAAUGGAGGAAUCGAUUUUCACAUCUUUUACUCUACCUCUUUCUGAAACUAAAAUCAAAGCCAACACCCGCCUCCCAUCCCUCAUUUCCACUUCUCCCAUUACUCUAGAGUCGACAUAGACUAAAUCGAUGUCCCCAUUGAAGAACUUCAAGUGAGAGAUUUUUAGAAGAUUUUGUUGUUAUUGUUGCAGGUUGGUUCUUGAGAGAUUGACGGUGGGUGAAUCUUGACAAAUUCAAAAAUCGAUUUUCGUCCCUUGGAACAGAGAGAUACGGAGAAGACUAACAGUCGUUUCCACCGAUUGAAAUAGAGUUGUAGUGUAUGCGAUGAGUAGAUUUUGUCCAGAAAGAUGUGUGGAUCUGGUAGUGUGAAGAGGUUAUAAAUGCGAUGAAUGGGUAAAUGAAGUAGAGGGUUCAAUGAUGUGGUUGGAUUUAAAUCCAUUGUGUUCAAUCUCCGACAAGGAAAGAAGCAUCCGGUCAACCACUUUUGAGUUCUCCGGUCACAUAGAGAGAGAAGCACUGGAAGAAGAUAAUGGAGAGAGAGAGAGAGAGAGAGAGAGAGAGAGAGAGAGAGAGAGAGAGGAGAGAGGGANGACAGUCGCCAAAUAGGUAGAUCGGAAGUCGGGUCUAUGAUUCCAUCAUCGUUCGCCACCUCCAUCCGUCACUGCCAGGAAAACCUAACCCUCAUAAAUGAAAACCCUAGCCCUCAUAAAUGUAAAUCAGAACCAUCGAUGAAUGAAGAAGGUUGGGUCCGAUGAAUCAGAGAAAAAAAUGGAGGAAUCGAUUUUCACAUCUUUUACUCUACCUCUUUCUGAAACUAAAAUCAAAGCCAACACCCGCCUCCCAUCCCUCAUUUCCACUUCUCCCAUUACUCUAGAGUCGACAUAGACUAAAUCGAUGUCCCCAUUGAAGAACUUCAAGUGAGAGAUUUUUAGAAGAUUUUGUUGUUAUUGUUGCAGGUUGGUUCUUGAGAGAUUGACGGUGGGUGAAUCUUGACAAAUUCAAAAAUCGAUUUUCGUCCCUUGGAACAGAGAGAUACGGAGAAGACUAACAGUCGUUUCCACCGAUUGAAAUAGAGUUGUAGUGUAUGCGAUGAGUAGAUUUUGUCCAGAAAGAUGUGUGGAUCUGGUAGUGUGAAGAGGUUAUAAAUGCGAUGAAUGGGUAAAUGAAGUAGAGGGUUCAAUGAUGUGGUUGGAUUUAAAUCCAUUGUGUUCAAUCUCCGACAAGGAAAGAAGCAUCCGGUCAACCACUUUUGAGUUCUCCGGUCACAUAGAGAGAGAAGCAGUGGAAGAAGAUAAUGGAGAGAGAGAGAGAGAGAGAGAGAGAGAGAGAGAGAGAGAGAGAGAGAGAGAGAGGGAGACUCACUUUUUUUUAAUUUCUAAUUAACAAAAUGUUAAAAAUAAAUAAAAAUAAAGGACAUUUUUAUCUUUUCACAUACACUUAACAAAUAUGUUAAGAAAGUUAAUCAUAAGGAUCAUUUGUGUGCAA
rnacentral:lncRNA from 1 species